GAUUUGGAACCCAUUAAAUAAUCUCCAGGAUAUUACAAUGCAACGCGAUACAGAUUAUCGUAACCGUACCAUAUAUUUACUUGUUCCACCAACUUUCCAUCUCAAAACCCUAACUUUUCACACUCCGCUCGCCUCUUCGUUCCGUCAUCAACAGAUCGGAUUCGAGGGAAAAUGAGUAGCCGUGCUAGCAGAACGGUCUAUGUCGGAAAUCUUCCGGGUGAUAUUCGUGAAAAAGAAGUGGAAGAUUUAUUUUACAAGUAUGGUCGCAUAGCCCACAUUGAUCUCAAGGUUCCACCGAGACCACCUGGUUAUGCAUUUGUUGAGUUUGAAGAUGCCGAGGAUGCUCAAGAUGCGAUUCGUGGCCGUGAUGGCUAUGAUUUUGAUGGGCAUAGAUUGCGUGUGGAACUUGCCCAUGGUGGUCGUGGUCAUUCAUCCUCUAGUGAUCGCUACAGUAGUCAUGGAGGUAGCCGAGGUGGGCGUGGAGUAUCCCGCCGCUCUGAUUAUCGUGUAUUAGUCACAGGAUUACCUUCUUCUGCUUCAUGGCAAGACUUGAAGGAUCACAUGCGACGAGCGGGGGAUGUUUGUUUUUCCCAAGUGUUCCGCGAUGGUAGUGGGACCACAGGGAUUGUGGAUUACACCAAUUAUGAUGACAUGAAGUAUGCUAUAAAGAAACUUGAUGACUCUGAGUUCCGCAAUGCAUUUUCCCGGGCGUAUGUUCGUGUGAGAGAAUAUGAUUCUAAGAGGGAUCUCUCCAGGAGUCCUAGUCGUGGGCGGUCAUACUCUAGAGGGAGGAGUUAUAGUCGCAGCCGUAGUAGAGGCCGAAGUAGGAGCAAGAGCCACAGUAGGAGCAAGUCUCCAAAAGCUAAAUCUUCCCAACGGUCCCCUGUUAAAUCUCGAUCAAGGUCUGCUUCCCCCGCACGCUCACGUUCAAAAUCAUCAUCUCUCUCAGGUAUUGGAUGCAUUCUUGGAAUGGUGGAGAUGAAUACUGGACAAACUUCAAAUUAGUCUGGGCAAUGUAUGGGACCCUCUAAUGGAAUGUUGGAUAUGGAAAUAUGCGGCAUUCUGGGGAUUGGAUAUUAGGAUCUUGAUGGGAUAUGAUUCAAUUGCCUUCAAUGCUUUUGGUUGAGAAGAUUGGGAUCAAAGGAGAUCAUGGAUUGCAAUAAUAGAGCUGGAUAUCUUGAACUAAGUGCUAUUUGGACUUGGAAGUCAUCAUCACUUUCAUUUACAUUUUCUGCUGCAAGAUUUGCCAAGCUAUAGGAUGCACUUUCUGGAUUCAUUGUGGACUUUUUGAGGCACAGUAGGGAAGAAUGCUCCUCUCCAGUCCACUGGUGUCUCUAUAAUAUAUAGUUUCCUGGAGAUUUAAGUUUUCUAAUUUUAGAUCGCGAUCAAGAUCCAGGUCUCCAGUGCCCAAUCGUGAGAAACGUACUAGUAAAAGUCCCAAAAGGCGUGAUGCUAGCAAAAGCCCUAGCAGGAGCAGAAGUAGGAGCAGAAGCAGGAGCCGAAGCAAGAGCAAGAGCAAGAGCAAGAG